AACUGUGGGUCAGAUAACAACUUCACCGGAAACGACGGUCGGAACUUCGUCGGUGACCGCUACGCCGGCGUUUCUUUCUUUAAAGGAAAAACCGGCACUAAACGAGAAACCACCUCCACCGUAUCCCAACUUUAUUGGACUGUGAGAAUCUAUUCACAGCCAUCGUUUUACGAGUUCAUAAUCAAAACAAGCGGCACUUACUUUGUACGUCUCCAUUUCUUUGUUCCUUCAUCUUCUGAUAAUCUGUACAACGCUAAGUUCACCGUUUUAGCUUCAGGGUUCGAGACCGUUUUAGCUUCAGGGUUCGAGCUUUUAUCGAAUUUCUCCGUCAAAAAUAGCCCUGUCGGUUCGCCGGUCAUCAAGGAAUUUUUAGUCGAUAUUAAUGAAGGAAGAUUCAAAAUCAACUUCAUACCUUCUCAAGGUUCAAACAUAGCUUUUGUAAACGCCAUUGAAGUGUUUCUAACACCGGAAAGCUUCGUCCCCGACACCGCUCCCCUCGCCGGACGUCGUCGAGGCUCGUUCGACGGUUUACGGUCUCGGGUUUUACAUACAGUCUAUAGGAUCAAUGUCGGAGGGGCUACUAUUACAACAGAUGAAGAUACACUGUGGAGGAACUGGAUACCUGAUGAUCAGUUCUUGUCUGAUCCGAAAAGUGCUAAGAACAGUUCGUUUUUCAAUGGUGAACCUGCAUACACAUCUGGUCGUGCCGAUGAAUACACUGCCCCAAGCCUUGUUUAUAAGACUGCAAAGCAAUUGAAUGUAGAAGAUAACACUAGCAGGCAAUUUUUCAAUAUAACAUGGAGUUUCAAUGUGAGUAAAAGUUCAAGACACUUUGUUAGGUUCCAUUUCUGUGACAUUGUUAGUCCAUCAAUUGAUUCUGUCAUGUUUGAUCUUUACAUUUACGAUAAAUUUGACAAGGUGGUUUAUCCGUAUAACGAAACCGGACAGUUAGAGGUUCCGUUUUACUUCGAUUUCGUGGUGGAUUCGGACAAAUCCGGGGUCAUGAACGUAAGUGUCGGCCCUCGGAAUGAUUCCGAGGAUCAAAGGGCGUUUUUGAAUGGGAUUGAAAUAAUGGAGUUCAUGAAGGAAUCCAGCUUUGUUGUGCGCCAAGAGAGGUCUAAAAAAAGGACUAAUUUAGUUCCUAUAGUUGGCUCUGUUGUUGGGACUGUUGUAUUUGUUGUUGUUUUUAUAGUGGCACUGGUUAUGUUCUCGAAAUUCAGGAAAAGAAAGCCUUUGUCUGAAAAAACAUCCAACAUGUCUCCUUUGGAUCUUGCUCUUAGAAUAUCUUAUUACGAAAUCGAGCACGCAACGAAGAAUUUCGAUUCUGGUUUAUUGAUCGGAGAAGGUGGAUUUGGGAGAGUGUACGAAGGUUUGUUUCGUGGUAAGAAAGUGGCUGUUAAAAGGAGCGAACCAGGGCAUGGCCAAGGCCUAUUGGAAUUCCAGACAGAGAUUGUUGUCUUGUCCCGAAUCCGGCAUCGGCAUCUCGUUUCUUUGAUUGGUUACUGCGACGAAAGAUCGGAAAUGAUAUUGGUUUAUGAGUUUAUGGAGAAGGGUACUCUUAGAGAUCAUCUAUAUAAUCAAAGUUCCGAUGUUGAGAAACCGUAUAUUGCUCGGUCCGACUUGUCUUGGAAGCAAAGGCUUGAAAUCUGUAUUGGUGCAGCAAAAGGGCUUAAUUAUUUACACACUGGUUCAGAUUGUGGAAUCAUUCACCGCGAUGUUAAGUCCACGAACAUCCUACUCGAUGAACAGUUAGUAGCCAAAGUUGCCGAUUUUGGGGUCUCGAAAUUUAACCUUCCGGACGAAGAACAUAGUGUUGAUGUCAAAGGAACGUUUGGUUAUCUCGACCCCGAAUACUUCUUAUCGCUGCAAUUGACGGAUAAAUCCGACGUGUACUCUUUCGGGGUCGUACUUCUCGAAGUACUUUGUGCGAGGCCAGCGGUUAUGGCAUCGAAUAGGAGGGAAGAAGUGAACUUAGCUGAAUGGGGAAUGCUUUGGUUGAGGAAAGGUCAACUCGAGAAGAUUAUCGAUCCGAUGCUAGUUGAUACAAUCAACCCCAACUCGUUAAGGAAGUUCGUCGAGACAACCGAGAAGUGUUUAAGACCGUCCGGUAACGAAAGACCGAUGAUGCGAGACGUGUUGUGGGAUUUAGAAUACGCAUUGCAGCUUCAGUUAAUUCCGAUGAACAAUGGAACAUUCGAAGACAGUACGACUAAUGUUUCCUUAGAAUUCUCAAUGACGCCUGUCCUCCAUCGGUUACCUUCAAAUAGCUUCCCGGCCGUUGAGGAAGAAGGUGCGGCCUUACUAUCCGUUGAUGCUUCCGAUGUAUUCUCAUUAUUGAGUGUUGGUGAGGCUAGAUAGUCUCCACUGGUUUAAAUGUUGAUAAGCGCUACAUUUUGUAAGUACUAUUCUUUUGGUAAAAUGACCUCUCCGGUCCCUCUCAAUUCCAAUAUCAAGUAAAUUAGUCCCUCUAAAAAAAAUUGAACAAUUUCAUUUUUGUGAAAUUUGAAAUUGAACAACUAAGCGUCAUUAAUCACAUCAUUAAUUUUUUCAUCAAAUCUACCUAUAUUAAUUUAUAAUUUUAUUAUUUUAGAACGCACUAAACAAAUAUUUUUUAUCCAAAAGAAAACCAAACAUUUUUAAUUUCUAGGACCAAAACUUCUGCCUAACCUUAUAUUCGUCCCUGCCAUUUUUCUGAAUUAUUUUACCAUCCCACCUUUUUCUUUUGGUUUGUUGUCAAUGAAGAAUACAUGCGAUGGAGACAUUUGGGAUUUGAGAAAAAUUGAAGAAAAAAAAAGGUAAAAGCUGCUCAACUGAAGCAACUUCAAGAAGUGGAGAUGUUUGUUGACCUUUAUAUACAAAAUAGUUAAAAACGAGAUUAAAUUUUCUGACAAUUUACUUUAAUUAAUAUAAAUGUGACUUAUAAUAAUUUAGAACCUGAACUUGACACUUUUUCUUAAUUUGAUAUUUAAAUUUAAUUUUUUUUAAGUUGGUACUUAAUCUUUUUCGGGGUCUAAUUUGGUACAUGAAAUUGACUCUUUUUCCUAAUUUGUUAUCUAAUUUUUUUUGUUUAAUUUGAUACUUAAAUUUGUCAAACAUUCUACAAAUUAUUUCAAUAUACUAACAAUGUUUUAUGAGGUAAAAAAAAUAUCAAAUUUAAGUACCAAAUGUUAUAUUAAGCCUAAUUAUAUGUAUAAAUAAUUUUUUGUUCUUUUGUUCUAUCAAUACUUUUUUUCUUAUGCGAUUUUCAUCUAAAGCAUAAAUAAUUAAUAAUAAUAAAAUGGAAAGUGAAAGUGUAGAACAAUGAUGCCAAUUACUGCUAAAUUCUAUCACGUAAGCUGUCCUUUUUUUAGUAAAUAAUUAAAAUAAUUAGCAAAGCUGCUAAAAAAAAAAACUUGACUUAAGGGGCAUGGUGGAUCCAAUUUUACCUUUUCAAAAGUAUCUUUUUUAUCAAGAAAAAGCAGCCAUGGAGCCAACUAAGAGCACACCUGCAAGCUCUUAAGAGAUUUAUUAAAAGUUAAAAUGUUAGUCCUUGUAUUUUGAUAAAAUUUAUAAUUUAGUCUCUAUUUUUGUUUUUUAUUUUAAAAAUUUGAGUCCGAUGGUUAGUAUUUUCUGUCAAAUUUUAUUAAGUUGAUAUAUGUUGAUGUUCUCAUAUGAUAUGAUAUAUAAUUCACAUAAUUGUUAAUAAUAGGAUUAAAACUUUUGAACGACCAUGAUGAGUACAAAAUAUGCAAAAAAAAAAAAUUAUGAUAAUCCUAUAAUCUUUUAUAUAUCAAAUGUACUAAAAAUUAAACCCUUAAAACGACGUUAUAGAGACCAACAACCACAAAUCCUAAAUACAGGGGAAAUCUGAAGGGGCAUGCAAGGCCUUGGCCCCCCUCAAAUGAAUAAAUUACUAUUCAAGUCUCAUAUAAAAUGAUUAAAUUAAAAAUAAAGUUAUGAUAAAUUUGCACUUUGCCUCUCAAAAUGAAGAAAUUAUAAAUUAAUACCUUCAAAAAUUAUGUUUUGAUUUCUCAAAAGUUUAUUAUUCGAUUUUGAUCCUCCUUAAAAAAGAUUUAUGGAUUCGUCUCUACCCAAACAUAAACCGCAAAACAAACAUAGUUGAUAAAAAUAAUAAUUAAGAUUGUAAUCGCUAUUAAAACCUUAAUUAUUGCAAUUAGGCUUUUUAAGGUAAAAAGAAAAAGUUGAAUGAAUUUAGAUCUUUUCCCAUACAUUAUUUUCCUUUUAAUUAUAUAUCAAUGGGGGAAAGAGAGGUUAUGAAGAAAAAGGAGUUGCAUUGUUUAGUAAUUACUACAAAGUAAAGGGACCACAUUAAACAAUGUACAAAAAAAUCUUUUUAAUCUUGUAUUUAUUAACACUUUUGUUUAUUUCCCUUAAUUCUAUUAUCACGAGAUCUGUAAAUCUGCCAUAAUAAAUAUUUAAAAAUAUUAUAAAAAAGAAGAGAAAAAGAUGAUAAUGAUUAUGAUGAUGGAUUACAUAAUGCAAGUCCCAUAUGUGAACAAGAUUACAUAUUUAGAUCUUAAAAUUCUGGGAUGGAAAAGGGGAACAAAAUCCCAAGCUUCCUACAGUGUUAUCAAACUUAAAUGGGUUAAUAUAAUUUUAGUCCCUAAACUUGGUAAUUAAGGUCACUUUAGCACUUUUAUUUUUUUAUUCAUUUUGAUAUCUGAAUUGGCAAUGAGGUUCGUUUUGAUUUUUGAAUUUGAGAUACGUAAAGAUUUGAUGACGAGAUACUUUGAGAUUAUGGCACGUCAUUAAAUCUUUAUAAAAUUCAAGUUCAUUGAUUAAAAUGAACCAAACAAAAAGUACAUGUACCAAAACAGAAUUAAUUGACAAUUCUGGGGACUUAAAGCUAUAUUAACCGACUUAAAUGUGGCUUUCUUCCUACAAAGGUUCAAUUAUGCCUUCAGUCCUAUGCUUCUGGACUUUUGAAAUUUGAUCCCUUUGCUUUGAAAAUUAAAGCGUUAUGGAUUUCUAUUAAAUUUGAAUUGUUGUAUUAUAAUAUUUAAAAGUUUUUAUUUAAAAAUUAAAGUUUAAUUAAAUUUAAUAGAAUUCAGCUAACAGUACUCAGUCGGACUAUAAUUUUUAAACUAGAUAAAUAAAAAAAUUAGACAAUGUUAGAUCUAUAUCCUAAUAAAACAACAAAUUAUAGGGACCAAAUAUAUCAUUAUGUAAUAAAACAUAGCUAUGGAACUCUUUAUCAGCUUGUCUAGUGCCAAAAUGAGGACAAUUUAUAGGGGAAUCAAUUAUUGAAAAUUUCUCUUAAAACACUCUUACGUAGAUCCGUUUUAUCAAAAGCAGUUCUUUUCGAUAAAUAAUACAGAAAUUAACCUAUUUUCAUAAAUAUAUUUAGAAAUAGGACUUUUUAAGUAAAUCAAUUAUUUUUAUGCCUAAAAAAAGAUUCAAUUUAAAGUGAUAAACCAUACUAUUUGGACUGCCCCACGAAUAAUUCAUCAUUCCUUUAAUAUCCCCUUAAAUAUUUGCAAUCAUGUAAAGAUGAGUUUGAAUAGGUGCUAAGUUUAGUUACGAUUAAUGUAAAAAUAAUAGUAAUGAUGAAAUUAAAUACUAUAAUAAUAAUAUAACGUGAGACAAAAAAAUAAAUUAAACACACCACCCUUAAUCAUUCAUUUAAACCCAAACUAAGGGCUCUUUUGGUUUGGCUUUUAACAUCAGUGAGGUGCAGUUGGGGUAGCAACCUCACUGAUAUGUUGUUUGGUUCAGCAAUACAGUGCAGUGAAAGUUGAUUUCAACCACACUGCUACGAUGAAAAGGAGUUAGAGGUUUCAGCAACAAUUGAAGGCAGUGGGAUAGUAGGUAUUUUUAACAGACAAAAACACUAUUACUUUUAUUUAUUAUUUUACCAUUUUAUCUUUGAAAGUUAAACUAAUUUAUUUCCCAACCUUAUUUGUAUCACAUUACAAAAACAAAAAUUUAAAUACUUAUACCUAAUAAAACGUCUUUCUCAUUACAAUAAUAGUUAUUUUCCAAAUAACAUAUUGUUUUAUAAUUUUAUUUCUUAAUUAAUAUUUUAAUUUAAUUUUAAUAAUGCAUACUUUAUAUAAUCAUAUUAGUGAAUCUGCUAACACAUACUUCAUCCGGGUAAAGUAUGCAUUUUAAUAACACAUGAAAAAUAAUGUUACUAUUUGUGAAAAUAAUAUUUAUCAUUGUUAUAAAAGAGUAUUUAACUAUAAAAAAUUAAAAAUAAUUAUCAUUUUAUCUAAAAAAUAAUUUAAAUUGAUUAUAUAAUUAAUUAAAAUAUUUAUAAUAAAAUAUUAGAAAAUACAUUUUAAUAUUUUAUUAAACGAAUUUUUUAUUCUCACCUCACCGCUACAGCUGCGUUUGAAUCCAAACACACACUCUACCAUUGUUUCUAAUCUCACCACUACAGUAUUUAAUCUCAAGUAACUAAUAUUACCGCCACUACUAUUUUUUAUUCCACCGGAAGUAAACACACCGCCUAUCUAAACUAAGCCUAAUACAUUUUAUUGAUAUAUAAUUUUAAAAAAGAACGAAAAUGAUUACUCUACAACAUAUAAAUUACCUUAAUGCAAUCCAUUUAUUUAUUAUAAUAUGAACGCUAUCAUAUCAAUCAAUCGUGUGUUUUAUAUUCCACCUUUUAAUAAAUUUCCCACUUCAAAGGAAUCCAAAGUCCAACAGCUGCCACUAUCUUUAACCUUUUUUAAAAAAAAAUAUUUUUUAUAAUUUUCUAGUUUAAUUAUGCAUAUCCUCAAUUGACCCUUCACCACCUUUAUUCUCUUUUAAAGUGUUCAUCGAAAUUGGCCUGCAAAAAUUAAAAAAGAGCUCAUAAUCCUCUUCUAUGGAAAACCUUAUAAUUAUUUUCCUUAUUCUUCUGCCAUUCUCAUCAGCUUAUACACGUCCUAACGAGCACUUCAUCAACUGUGGGUCAGAUUUCAACUUCACCGGAAACGGCAGUCGGAACUUCGUCGGUGACCGCUACGCCGGCGUUUCUUUCUUUAAAGGAAAAACCGGCACUAAACGAGAAACCACCUCCUCCGUAUCCCAACUUUAUUGGACGGUGAGAAUCUAUUCACAGCCAUCGUUUUACGAGUUCAUAAUCAAAACAAGCGGCACUUACUUUGUACGUCUCCAUUUCUUUGUUCCUUCAUCUUCUGAUAAUCUGUACAACG
rnacentral:lncRNA from 1 species